AGGACUGGUAGUUUAAUCUGACGCGUGCAUGAUUUCACUCGAACGCACAUGUCUGAAGACCUUGUUCACGACGUGAUGUGGUUUACGUAAAAUCUCCUGUAUUCCGCACUGUGGACGCACUUCUCGGAUCCGAAGCCGCAGGGAAAAAAAACUAUUGACGAAGAUACUUCGAAGUUACGGCCCAGACAGAAAAUGGCGGACAACACGUUAGAACACCUUGUCCUCAGGAGCUCCUCCGGGGUUUCUCUCAAUCACCGCUUCUCGAAGGUUCUUGAGGCCCCUGCCCCCGGUGAGGUGAAGCUUGAGCCCCUCGUGGACGACCUGUGCUUGGACGACGAUGCCCGGACUGUCCUGCCCAG